CGAACGCUGGCGGCGUGCCUAAUACAUGCAAGUAGAACGCUGAAGAGAGGAGCUUGCUCUUCUUGGAUGAGUUGCGAACGGGUGAGUAACGCGUAGGUAACCUGCCUUGUAGCGGGGGAUAACUAUUGGAAACGAUAGCUAAUACCGCAUAACAAUGGAUGACACAUGUCAUUUAUUUGAAAGGGGCAAUUGCUCCACUACAAGAUGGACCUGCGUUGUAUUAGCUAGUAGGUGAGGUAAUGGCUCACCUAGGCGACGAUACAUAGCCGACCUGAGAGGGUGAUCGGCCACACUGGGACUGAGACACGGCCCAGACUCCUACGGGAGGCAGCAGUAGGGAAUCUUCGGCAAUGGGGGCAACCCUGACCGAGCAACGCCGCGUGAGUGAAGAAGGUUUUCGGAUCGUAAAGCUCUGUUGUAAGUCAAGAACGGGUGUGAGAGUGGAAAGUUCACACUGUGACGGUAGCUUACCAGAAAGGGACGGCUAACUACGUGCCAGCCAGCCGCGGUAAUACGUAGGUCCCGAGCGUUGUCCGGAUUUAUUGGGCGUAAAGCGAGCGCAGGCGGUUUGAUAAGUCUGAAGUUAAAGGCUGUGGCUCAACCAUAGUUCGCUUUGGAAACUGUCAAACUUGAGUGCAGAAGGGGAGAGUGGAAUUCCAUGUGUAGCGGUGAAAUGCGUAGAUAUAUGGAGGAACACCGGUGGCGAAAGCGGCUCUCUGGUCUGUAACUGACGCUGAGGCUCGAAAGCGUGGGGAGCGAACAGGAUUAGAUACCCUGGUAGUCCACGCCGUAAACGAUGAGUGCUAGGUGUUGGAUCCUUUCCGGGAUUCAGUGCCGCAGCUAACGCAUUAAGCACUCCGCCUGGGGAGUGCGACCGCAAGGUUGAAACUCAAAGGAAUUGACGGGGGCCCCCACAAGCGGUGGAGCAUGUGGUUUAAUUCGAAGCAACGCGAAGAACCUUACCAGGUCUUGACAUCCCGAUGCUAUUUCUAGAGAUAGAAAGUUACUUCGGUACAUCGGUGACAGGUGGUGCAUGGUUGUCGUCAGCUCGUGUCGUGAGAUGUUGGGUUAAGUCCCGCAACGAGCGCAACCCCUAUUGUUAGUUGCCAUCAUUCAGUUGGGCACUCUAGCGAGACUGCCGGUAAUAAACCGGAGGAAGGUGGGGAUGACGUCAAAUCAUCAUGCCCCUUAUGACCUGGGCUACACACGUGCUACAAUGGUUGGUACAACGAGUUGCGAGUCGGUGACGGCGAGCUAAUCUCUUAAAGCCAAUCUCAGUUCGGAUUGUAGGCUGCAACUCGCCUACAUGAAGUCGGAAUCGCUAGUAAUCGCGGAUCAGCACGCCGCGGUGAAUACGUUCCCGGGCCUUGUACACACCGCCCGUCACACCACGAGAGUUUGUAACACCCGAAGUCGGUGAGGUAACCUUUUGGAGCCAGCCGCCUAAGGUGGGACAGAUGAUUGGGG
rnacentral:rRNA from 1 species